rnacentral:rRNA from 1 species
UGCCAGCCGCCGCGGUAAUACGGAGGGGGCAAGCGUUGUUCGGAAUUACUGGGCGUAAAGCGCACGUAGGCGGACUGAUCAGUUGGGGGUGAAAUCCCGAGGCUUAACCUCGGAACUGCCUUCAAUACUGUCAGUCUUGAGAUCGGAAGAGGUGAGUGGAAUUUUAUAUGGAAGGGUGGAAUCUUGAUAUAUGUAAAGGAAUACCAGAGAUGAAGGUGAUUGUCCAUAUCUAAACUAUCAUUGAGGAACGAAAGCGUAGGUAGCGAUUGGGAUUAGAUA